GUGUCAGCAGCCGCGGUAAUACGGAGGAUGCGAGCGUUAUCCGGAUUUAUUGGGUUUAAAGGGUGCGCAGGCGGCGCGUUAAGUCAGCGGUAAAAUUUCGGGGCUCAACCCCGACGAGCCGUUGAAACUGGCGUGCUAGAGUGGGCGAGAAGUAUGCGGAAUGCGUGGUGUAGCGGUGAAAUGCAUAGAUAUCACGCAGAACUCCGAUUGCGAAGGCAGCAUACCGGCGCCCAACUGACGCUCAUGCACGAAAGCGUGGGUAUCGAACAGGAUUAGAUACCCUGGUAGUCCACGCAGUAAACGAUGAGCACUAAUUGUCCGGAGCGAUUGAGUUCUGGGUGAUACAGCGAAAGCGUUAAGUGCUCCACCUGGGGAGUACGCCGGCAACGGUGAA
rnacentral:rRNA from 1 species